rnacentral:rRNA from 1 species
UACGUAGGCAGCGAGCGUUGUUCGGAGUUACUGGGCGUAAAGGGUGUGUAGGCGGUUGUUUAAGUUUGGUGUGAAAUCUCCCCGGCUCAACUGGGAGGGUGCGCCGAAUACUGAAUGGACUCGAGUGUGGGAGAGGUGAGUGGAAUUCCUGGUGUAGCGGUGAAAUGCGUAGAUAUCAGGAGGAACACCGGUGGUGUAGACGGCUCACUGGACCAUAACUGACGCUGAGACACGAAAGCGUGGGUAGCAAGCAGG